UACGAAGGGGGCUAGCGUUGCUCGGAAUCACUGGGCGUAAAGCGCACGUAGGCGGAUUCCUAAGUCGGGGGUGAAAUCCUGGAGCUCAACUCCAGAACUACCUUCGAUACUGGGAAUCUUGAGUCCGGGAGAGGUGAGUGGAACUGCGAGUGUAGAGGUGAAAUUCGUAGAUAUUCGCAAGAACACCAGUGGCGAAGGCGGCUCACUGGCCCGGUACUGACGCUGAGGUGCGAAAGCGUGGGGAGCAAACAGG
rnacentral:rRNA from 1 species